AGCAAACGUUAGCGGCGGGCCUAACAUAUGCAAGUCGAACGCGAAAGGUCUUCGGACUGAGUAGAGUGGCGCACGGGUGAGUAACACGUAGGUAAUCUACCCUUUGGCGGGGGAUAACGUUCCGAAAGGAGCGCUAAUACCGCAUAAGACCACGGAGUCUCCGGACGCUGUGGGAAAAGGUGGCCUCUUCUUGAAAGCUACCACCGAAGGAUGAGCCUGCGUCCCAUCAGCUAGUUGGUAAGGUAAUGGCUUACCAAGGCGAAGACGGGUAGCUGGUUUGAGAGAAUGAUCAGCCACACUGGCACUGGAACACGGGCCAGACUCCUACGGGAGGCGGCAGUGAGGAAUAUUGGGCAAUGGGCGAAAGCCUGACCCAGCCACGCCGCGUGAGUGAUGAAGGCCCUCGGGUCGUAAAGCUCUGUGGAGAGGGACGAAAACCCUGGUUUCAAAUAGGCUCCAGGCUUGACGGUACCUCUUUAGCAAGCACCGGCUAACUCUGUGCCAGCAGCCGCGGUAAAG
rnacentral:rRNA from 1 species